GAAGCACAGCCCACACCCUGCCCCAGGAGGGGGGUCUGCACCACUGAUCUUGAGCAGCCAGCCUCAAAUGGAGGUGCUGGUGAGCGAGGGCAGGGGACACACGAGCAAUAUCAUUCGCUAAAUCAGUGGAGCCCAGCAAACAUUUGUUAAUCACCUGCUGAGUUCAAGGAGUUAAAGUGCAAAGAUACAAGGAAAUGUUUUUUCUCCUAAGCCAACAAUGACCUACAGCAAUUUGUUAAAUUAUACCUUUGUAAGCAGAAUCGAAAUAUUUCUCUUUUUCUCCUUACCUAAUCCCUCCAGAAUUUGGAAACUCUUAGUAAGUAUUCUUAUUUUCAUGACAAUAAACUUAUUUAGAUAAGUUCACUAAGAAUCUGUUCUUGUAACAGGACGCAAUUGGAAACACUGGUUAUACUAUCAAGGCUUUGACUGGAAUGUCAUGUUUGAGAGAAACAUACAUAGACUCAGAUAUAACCAGACAGCUUUAAGGAACUAAGACUGACUUUAUGGAAGCCAAUAAAGUCCCCUUGGAAAAGUUGGCCUUGGGAAAAAAAUUUUUUUUGCUUACAGGGUUCCCAGCAGCUUUACCAGGUGAGUAAUGAAGGUCACUUUUUGGCAGGUGCAGAAACCUCAGGAUAUUUGGGGGACCUCAAGAAGAGAGGAAUUAACCCAAAUCUAAAGGCAUAGUUUGGUGGUAAACAUUGGCUUGGUUUCUUAGCCUCAAGAGGUGGUUAAAAGUUCAAUCUGGAGAUGCCUCAUGAAAAGUUCCACCAAAGCAGAUUUAAAAGAGGCUAUAUGAUCAAUUGCUAUUCUUGCUGCAUUUGUGUAAACAAUCAGGCCAAGCUUAUUAAAACUAGACUUAUUUUCAAGUAAGUUAGUCUUAACUUGGCUAUCUUUGAUAAAAAAUUGGGGUGAUUUUAGUUAGAAAAAAUAAUUUCAGUAGAAAUGAUAAUACG
rnacentral:lncRNA from 1 species